rnacentral:rRNA from 1 species
GAUGAACGCUGUCGGCGUGCCUAAUACAUGCAAGUCGAGCGAACGGACGAGAAGCUUGCUUCUCUGAUGUUAGCGGCGGACGGGUGAGUAACACGUGGAUAACCUACCUAUAAGACUGGGAUAACUUCGGGAAACCGGCGCUAAUACCGGAUAAUAUUUUGAACCGCAUGGUUCAAAAGUGAAAGACGGUCUUGCUGUCACUUAUAGAUGGAUCCGCGCUGCAUUAGCUAGUUGGUAAGGUAACGGCUUACCAAGGCAACGAUGCAUAGCCGACCUGAGAGGGUGAUCGGCCACACUGGAACUGAGACACGGUCCAGACUCCUACGGGAGGCAGCAGUAGGGAAUCUUCCGCGAUGGGCGAAAGCCUGACGGAGCAACGCCGCGUGAGUGAUGAAGGUCUUCGGAUCGUAAAACUCUGUUAUUAGGGAAGAACAUAUGUGUAAGUAACUGUGCACAUCUUGACGGUACCUAAUCAGAAAGCCACGGCUAACUACGUG